UACGUAGGGCGCAAGCGUUGUCCGGAAUUAUUGGGCGUAAAGAGCUCGUAGGCGGCUUGUCACGUCGGGUGUGAAAGCUCGGGGCUUAACCCCGGGUCUGCAUUCGAUACGGGCUGGCUGGAGUGUGGUAGGGGAGAUCGGAAUUCCUGGUGUAGCGGUGAAAUGCGCAGAUAUCAGGAGGAACACCGGUGGCGAAGGCGGAUCUCUGGGCCAUUACUGACGCUGAGGAGCGAAAGCGUGGGGAGCGAAC
rnacentral:rRNA from 1 species